rnacentral:lncRNA from 1 species
GAAAGCGGGCUCCUACAGAGCUAUGUCCGGAGAAGCUGGCACAGUUACUCACCGCCCACGGCCACAAGGAGGUCUCAGCACACAGGGACAAGGUUUCCCUUCUCCACACCGGCCCCUAGCCACAACCCUCGCCUCCCCUCAGCCACCCAAACCCCUCAGCCUCGGAGCGAAGCUCUGAGUCCAGACCCCACCGGGCGCCCACAAAACCCCUCCGGGCAGCCCCAACGGGGAACCCCAGCGCCUUUUUCCCGUAGUUUACCCCAAGCUCUCCGGUUAGGAGCUGCCCGCUUUCCCUCACCCCUGCCAGCAGCUGCUGAGGAGAGGGAGGCGGCGGCGACAGGCGAGGCGGCCCCGGCCGGCAGCCGCCGCGCCAAUGGCGGCGCCGAGUCCCCUCAGAGCAGGGCGGCUCCGCCGGCUCCGGCCCGCCCUCACGGGGCUGGGCUCGGCUUUGGGGCACCUGUGGGCACCGCAAGGGCGGCUGGAGGAAGCGGGGAGGGUGUCAGGGCUGUGGGAGAGAGCGUCAGGGUUGUGGGGAGGGUGUCCUGGGUGCGGGGACUGCGCUGGGUGCGGGAGGUGGGAAGGAGUUUUGGGAGUGGGUUUGAGAGGGCACUGCUGAGGCGGAGGGCUGUGGCUCCGCAGCUGGAAAGAGGGUAUUUCUCAUCGAGUCCACACAAAUCACAUCGAGUUUGGCUCGACUGGCUGCCUGGAGGGAAAAUGAUCUGCAUUUCACUUUAUCCGGUAGUGGGUAAGCUGAGAGGCGCUAAGAUACGCCUGUUUGCAGUAGAUACAUGCAGCCAUAACGAAGGUUUCAGUCAUCUGUUUGUCCAGGAAGCCGCUCUAAGUGGUUUUCUGUUUAAUUGGUGGCACAAAAUACACACGCCACCAUUUGGUAGGAUGAUCCAGCAGGACUUUUCCUCUGAACUGAGCCUUGUUUGGCUAUCGAAGUGCCAAGAUGAAGCUGGAGUCCCUCUGGGAUCAGGCCAACAGCACCAACUCCCUGUCUUUCAGACAGCCCUCGUGGUGCUGCUUUUGCCUUACAUACGAUCUUCCCAAGCCAUUUGUUUUAUAUUUUUAAUCCUGUUUGGGGACAUGUGGAAAAUUUCAGUCCCUGAAAGUAGAGCCUGCAGUGCCAAACCUGCAAGGUUGCUCAGGGUGUGCUCUGGCCAUGCUCACAGGACCCCACUUCUCAAUGAGUUCCCUCUUGAGUCCACGGUUUGCAUCGAUUCACUUUUGAAAUCCUCCAUAAUCAACACUGUGUUCCUAGUCAUCAUAAAGCCUUACAUUUCACCUGCUACUCUAACUUAG